rnacentral:rRNA from 1 species
AGUGAACGCUGGCGGUAGGCCUAACACAUGCAAGUCGAACGGCAGCACAGGAGAGCUUGCUCUCUGGGUGGCGAGUGGCGGACGGGUGAGGAAUACAUCGGAAUCUACUCUGUCGUGGGGGAUAACGUAGGGAAACUUACGCUAAUACCGCAUACGACCUACGGGUGAAAGCAGGGGACCUUCGGGCCUUGCGCGAUUGAAUGAGCCGAUGUCGGAUUAGCUAGUUGGCGGGGUAAAGGCCCACCAAGGCGACGACCCGUAGCUGGUCUGAGAGGAUGCUAAGCCACACUGGAACUGAGACACGGUCCAGACUCCUACGGGAGGCAGCAGUGGGGAAUAUUGGACAAUGGGCGCAAGCCUGAUCCAGCCAUACCGCGUGGGUGAAGAAGGCCUUCGGGUUGUAAAGCCCUUUUGUUGGGAAAGAAAUCCAGCUGGCUAAUACCCGGUUGGGAUGACGGUACCCAAAGAAUAAGCGCCGGCUAACUUCGUGCCAGCCGCCGCAGUAA